UGGGGAAUAUUGCACAAUGGGCGCAAGCCUGAUGCAGCCAUGCCGCGUGUGUGAAGAAGGCCUUCGGGUUGUAAAGCACUUUCAGCGGGGAGGAAGGCGAUAAGGUUAAUAACCUUGUCGAUUGACGUUACCCGCAGAAGAAGCACCGGCUAACUCCGUGCCAGCAGCCGCGGUAAUACGGAGGGUGCAAGCGUUAAUCGGAAUUACUGGGCGUAAAGCGCACGCAGGCGGUCUGUCAAGUCGGAUGUGAAAUCCCCGGGCUCAACCUCGGAACUGCAUUCGAAACUGGCAUGCUUGAGUCUUGUAGAGGGGGGUAGAAUUCCAGGUGUAGCGGUGAAAUGCGUAGAGAUCUGGAGGAAUACCGGUGGCGAAUGCGGCCCCCUGGACAAAGACUGACGCUCAGGUGCGAAAGCGUGGGGAGCAAACAGG
rnacentral:rRNA from 1 species